CUCAACCGGUCAUAUCCCGGCUUUCUAGCCUGUUUUUAGGCCUAGGGUCUAGGCCUAGUAAUAUUAUUAUAUCAUCAGCCUAGCUUUAAAAUGGUGAUUAUUUAUUAUAAAUAAAGACAAUACGGCGCGUACUAAUACUCACCAGAUUGAUGUUUAAAUUUUUGCAAAUCAAAUUUGAAAGGAAAGCUUGGAUAAUUUCUUUGACAAAUUCGCUACUGCAAUCAACUAAAGAGAAAGGCUUUCUUGACAUUUGACCUCUAUAGAAGUAUUCUGAAUCCCCAUCGUCCGCCAGAAAAAUAAUAUUUUAUUUUUUUCUGAAUUAUUUAAUAAAUUGCCUAAAAUUACACUAUAAUUCAAUUUUUAGGUCCUAUUAUUUCACAAAUUAGUAAAUAAUAUAUUUUAAUUGUGUUAUAAUAUGUUGUAUUAAUUACAUAUUCAUUAGUUAUCAUCAAUAAAAUAAAAAUUAUAGUACGAGACCCUAGAGAAAAGAGGGUAAUAACGGUUAUGGUAUUUAGGUGACCGAAGUUACCCCACUUUACGGUAUGUUUAAUUAAUUGGGCAGUUUGACGCCUACAGUGUCUUGUCCAGAGGGAGACGAAAUAUUAUUAUUUUUACAGUUAAUUAAAUAAUAAAUUAACCUAGGCCUAAGCCUUGGCCUGUAACUCUAGUUAUAUUUAUUAGGCCAUAAACUGCUAUAAUUUUAUAACUUAAAAAUGUAUGGCUCGCAUGGCUCGCUGGCUCGCAUGGCUCGCUCAUUGGCUCGCAUGACUCGCUGGCUCGCACUUUGUCACGACCCUCGUUUUUCUACAGGUUAAAAGCUCGCAGGUUAAAGCUUAAAAGGUCAGAGCUCGAAAUUUACACUAUAAGUUGGUGUAAAUUUACCUACCUAAACCGUUAAGUAUUGUACAGUAUUAAGAAAGAAAAGGAAUUGCUAUGUAAAUAUACGAUGAAUUCGUAAAUUUUGGAAUUCCUUGACAAUUAUAUAUUUUUAAACAUUGUUAUUAAUAACGUUCCCUAACGUAAAAUUAAAGUGAAAACCAUUUAUUAAUAACGUUCCCUAACGUAAAAUUAAAGUGAAAACCAUUUAUUUGGCGCGCUUACGAUCACGUGACAUCUCAGUUUAUGACGCAUUAUGACACACGCAUGCGUAGUGCGUCGACGUUGAGGCGCGGACAGGCGCACGCAGUGGUAUGGAAGAGGAGAGCACAUGUAAAGUUCGUUUACGUCGGUUCUUUAUCUUGGAAAACAAAAGGAUCAGUGAGUUCAAAAAACGUUUGGGAAAACUGGAUGAGCUUGGUGUGGUCCAUGAAGCGGAUCUUGCACUAGUUAUGGAAGGAUGACAUUCUAAAGGCCAUUUUUGUGCACAAGUGUAGUACACAUUUUAUAAAAGCAACAUGUGAACAAAAAACACUCCAGAGAUAUUAU